UGCUGUGAUGAUAACGUCAUCUGCGACGAUUUAUUCGUAAAUGUAAUUGUUUUAGUCCGGUUCUUUUUGCGGCAUGGGAAACGUUAUUUAAACGUUAGUUUAUUAAAAUUAGAAACUUUGCGUCUUGCGAACCCAAAGAGUUUGACGGAUUUGUGAUGUGACCAAAUGAUAGAUUCUGAAUGAUUAAACAUCAUAAAAUUC